GAUGAACGCUGGCGGCGUGCCUAAUACAUGCAAGUCGAGCGAACGGACGAGAAGCUUGCUUCUCUGAUGUUAGCGGCGGACGGGUGAGUAACACGUGGAUAACCUACCUAUAAGACUGGGAUAACUUCGGGAAACCGUAGCUAAUACCGGAUAAUAGUUUGAACCGCAUGGUUCAAAAGUGAAAGACGGUCUUGCUGUCACUUAUAGAUGGAUCCGCGCUGCAUUAGCUAGUUGGUAAGGUAACGGCUUACCAAGGCAACGAUGCAUAGCCGACCUGAGAGGGUGAUCGGCCACACUGGAACUGAGACACGGUCCAGACUCCUACGGGAGGCAGCAGUAGGGAAUCUUCCGCAAUGGGCGAAAGCCUGACGCAGCAACGCCGCGUGAGUGAUGAAGGUCUUCGGAUCGUAAAACUCUGUUAUUAGGGAAGAACAUAUGUGUAAGUAACUGUGCACAUCUUGACGGUACCUAAUCAGAAAGCCACGGCUAACUACGUG
rnacentral:rRNA from 1 species